AUUGAACGCUGGCGGAAUGCUUUACACAUGCAAGUCGAACGGUAGAGGGGGCAACCCCUUGAGAGUGGCGAACGGGUGAGUAAUAUAUCGGAACGUGCCCAGUCGUGGGGAGUAACGUAGCGAAAGUUACGCUAAUACCGCAUACGAUCUACGGAUGAAAGCGGGGGAUCGCAAGACCUCGCGCGAUUGGAGCGGCCGAUAUCAGAUUAGGUAGUUGGUGAGGUAAAGGCUCACCAAGCCGACGAUCUGUAGCUGGUCUGAGAGGACGACCAGCCACACCUGGGACGUGAGACACGGCCCAGACUCCUACGGGAGGCAGCAGU
rnacentral:rRNA from 1 species